ACUCUUCUAGCUGAGGACCCAGAGAAAGUCCCAGCUGGAAGAGGGUAAAGGAGAAGUAGGAAAAGAAGUGGGCGCCAGGAUAGAGCAGAGCGCAGAAGAACGCGCAGACCUCUGGGCCGAGUGGGGGCGGGCCUGCUGGGCCAAAGCCUUGGCCUCCUCAGCCAAAACUAAGCGGUCGCCUGGCAACCCUGGAGGCGCGGUGUUCGAACGGAAGCGAGGAACCAAUCAGGAAGUCCGGGGCGAACCAUUCCGGUGAUGGGGGUAGGGGCGCUCACUUCCCCUUCCUCUGAGCCCGGGAGACUUUCGCUCCGGUGGGGGCGGCGGGACAGCCCGGGGCACCGGUUCAGCUACCGUGCAGAGGAGAGCCCCGAAAGACACCCCUGCGGGUCCCCACGCGGGUGGGGCCUCCUGGGCCGCGUCGGCAGAGGCCACUCCAGGUCUGGGUCCGAACUGUCAAGCCUCUCCUGUCCCCGCGUGGGAGGAGCGGAACACGCCAAGGGCGGGCUCCAGCCGUUGCCGGGUCCAGCUGCCAUCUCUGCCUGGAUGUCUAUCUCCUUAUUUCUAUGGUCUCUUCAAGACCCAGGCCCUUGA
rnacentral:lncRNA from 1 species